rnacentral:ribozyme from 1 species
CUUCAGUCUCUGUCAUACCAGAAUCCCACAGAAGAAGAUCUAUCUCAUCCCCGUAUAUCGAACCCGAUCCCAUUCCCGCCUGGAGUGUGCCUAAUCCACCUUGACCAACAUUUCUGGUAACGAGUUUUACGCCUAGUCGGGCGAAGAUUGG